rnacentral:rRNA from 1 species
UUGACCUCGGAUCAGGUAGGGAUACCCGCUGAACUUAAGCAUAUCAAUAAGCGGAGGAAAAGAAACCAACAGGGAUUGCCCUAGUAACGGCGAGUGAAGCGGCAACAGCUCAA